UGAGGAACAUGACCUUCGGCGGGGGAUAGCCGGCCCAACGGCCGGGUAAUACCGCGUACGACCUUUCGGGGACAUCCUCGGAUGGUGAAAGCAGCAAUGCGCCGAUGGAGUGCCUCGCGGCCUAUCAGCUAGUUGGUGGGGUAACGCUCACCAAGGCGACGACGGGUAGCUGGUCUGAGAGGAUGGCCAGCCACAUUGGGACUGAGACACGGCCCAGACCUCCCGUAACGGGGAGGCAAGGCG
rnacentral:rRNA from 1 species